rnacentral:siRNA from 1 species
UAGCUGUACAGAUAGCGGUGUAC